GCCGGGAUGCUGGAAUGGUAUACAGGUUAGUCUCAAAAACUAAUGCCCUCAAGGGCUUGAGGGUUCGAGUCCCUCUCCCGGUACCA
rnacentral:tRNA from 1 species